AGUAUCAUUGUGAGUUCGAGGCCAGCCUGGGCUACAAAGGAUAUCUUGAACAGACUUGUCCCUUUCCCCACAAUGGGAUUUAUGAAAUCAGCCAACCUUUAAGGACACAGUAGGAUUCCUCCUUGCCAGUCUUCAUCGAAUACAAAAGUAACUCACCACCUCAGCCUUGUUGGUUCACUGGCCUACAUCACUUCAUAGUUAGUCUCUUUCAACAAAAGGAUGUGGCUACCAAAAAAUAGUAAACAAACUUUAAUCUUCGUGAAUGCUAGUGUGCUUAGAACAAAAGAUGUACUGGUCCUUCUUUACCCUGAACUAGGAAGUACAUACCUGAAUUUACAAAGAGAAUUGUGACCAGACAUAAGAUGACGAAGAAACAUAUCCUAUGAGAAAUGUAACCUGUUGGAAUAUUUAAUCUAGUGAAAGGAAGACUCAGAGGAAUAUCAUGAACUGAAGUUGGAAGGCUAUCAUACAAGAAGUUCUUUUCUGUUCUUCCAGAGGGAGGAAACAUUUCAGAUCGCAUAUAAAAGGAAAAAAUAAUAACUAGAACUGUGCUAAAAUGAAAUGGAUAACUUUAUAAACAAUGGUUCUCCAAUUA